GGAGGGGGUUAGCGUUGUUCGGAAUUACUGGGCGUAAAGCGUACGUAGGCGGAUUGGAAAGUUGGGGGUGAAAUCCCAGGGCUCAACCCUGGAACUGCCUCCAAAACUAUCAGUCUAGAGUUCGAGAGAGGUGAGUGGAAUUCCAAGUGUAGAGGUGAAAUUCGUAGAUAUUUGGAGGAACACCAGUGGCGAAGGCGGCUCACUGGCUCGAUACUGACGCUGAGGUACGAAAGUGUGGGGAGCAAACAGGAUUAGAUACCCUGGUAGUCCACCCCGUAAACGAUGAAUGCCAGUCGUCGGGCAGUAUACUUGUUCGGUGACCCCCCUUACGGAUUAAGCCUUUCCCCUGGGGAGUACGGUCGCAAGAUU
rnacentral:rRNA from 1 species